ACUUUCUUCUUAACCAUCUUUAAUCUCUGUGGUCUUAAGCUUCCUGUCUAUCAUCUGCCUGUCAAUCUAAUCUAAUCUGUCUGUCUGUCUGUCUAUCUCUAUCUAUCUAUCUUUUGUUAUUCUUUCUUCUUAACCAUCUUUAAUCUCUGUGGUCUUAAGCUUCCUGUCUAUCAUCUGCCUGUCAAUCUAAUCUAAUCUGUCUGUCUGUCUGUCUAUCUCUAUCUAUCUAUCUUUUGUUAUUUUUGGAGACUGGGUCUUACCUUGUAAUCCUGGGUAGACUAGAUUACUAGCUGUCUUCAAAAAUCACAGAGAUCUGCCGGCCUCUGUCUUGGGAGUUCUGAGAUUAAAGGAUUUCGGUGAGCUGGGCUCACAGUGUGGAGGACACUUCUCCUGCACAUGGGGAACAGGUUCAAGGUCUUAUUUCAGACACUGUGCUGGCCCGCGUCUACUUUCCUCCAGCCCUCAUUCAGUUCUUAAGAUGUACGCGUGAGGUAAAACGCAAAGGACCGACAAUCCCAAGAGUCAGCAAGGAAGCAGGGCAACUGGACCUCUCAGUCCCUGACGCUGGUAUACACGGGAGCCACCACCUUAGAGUUCGGAGGCAGCGUCCAGCUGUCGCUCUGCCUCCUCCAACUGGGGCAAAGCCGUAGAAGCGCAUCACGGCAUCGGAUAGAUCACUGUUGUGAGCUCAGCAUGAUGGUCUCCCACUUCGAUGGGUUUUUAAAAGGCAAAACUCAUCUAUGAUGAGGAAGAGAAGAGUGGUUGUCUCUGGGAGACGCCUGCAUACUAACAGGGUAAACAUCUCACAUCGGCUUGCUUUGCCAAAUGCAAGACACCUCCAAAUAAAACGAAGUAAA
rnacentral:lncRNA from 1 species